rnacentral:lncRNA from 1 species
AAGAAAUACUAAGUAUUUGGAAUUCACUCCACUUUGAUCUCAUCCAAAUCCUAUGCUCUUCUUUCCUCAUCAUUUUUGUAGCCACAGUGUACUUCAUGUCAAAACCAAGAUCCAUUUACUUAGUAGAUUAUUCAUGUUACAAAGCUCCUGUCACAUGUAGAGUACCAUUUUCAACUUUUAUGGAACAUUCACGUCUAAUCUUGAAAGAUAAUCCUGAAAGUGUGAAGUUCCAAAUGAGAAUUCUUGAAAGGUCAGGACUUGGUGAAGAAACCUGUUUGCCUCCUGCUUGUCAUUACAUCCCUCCAACACCAACAAUGGAAUCUGCUAGAACUGAAGCUGAAGUUGUCAUAUUCUCAGCUAUUGACAACUUAAUGAAGAAAACAGGUCUAAAACCUAAAG